rnacentral:tRNA from 1 species
UAGUGAAUAGCACAGUUUGGUAGCGUAUCUAUGAUAUUAGGAAUAGCGGACCAGAGGGUCGGGGGUUCGAAUCCCUCUUCACCGACCA